rnacentral:rRNA from 1 species
AAAAAAAAAAUAAAAGUUUUGCAUCCCCUAGGGUGAAAUCAGGGGGAUCAACUAAUUAAUAUUUAAUUUAUAAGAUUCGAUAAACGACCCAGAUUAGUACCUGGUUAGUCGAAAUUAAAAAAAGCAGAAGUAAAGUUAUAUUUAAACUGAAAAAAUUUUGGCAGAUCUCUAAAAAAUCUUUGGAGGUUGAGUAGUAAUUGAGAACCCCCAUUUUCAACUUUUGUUUUUGGCGCAUGUAUGAUCGUUUAUGUUUCAUCUUAAAGAUACUCAUUAAAAAUAAUUUUCUUUAUAAAAACAGAUAAAUACCUGGUUAAUACAAAAGUACAAACUUGACCUACAAUAAAUAAUAUUUUUGGAUCUCCCGUCGAGAGACGAGAGUGAAAUUGUAAAAGACAGUAAACUGUUCUUAAUGUAUAGUUGAACAAACCUAGCGGUGGUACAAAUCAU